rnacentral:rRNA from 1 species
GACGUAGGGGGCCAGCGUUGUUCGGAAUUACUGGGUGUAAAGGGUUCGUAGGCGGUGCGGCAAGUCGGGAGUGAAAUCUCUGGGCUCAACCCAGAGGCUGCUUCCGAAACUGCUGUGCUUGAGUGUGGGAGAGGCGCGUGGAAUUGCAGGUGUAGCGGUGAAAUGCGUAGAUAUCUGCAGGAACACCCGUGGCGAAAGCGGCGCGCUGGACCACUACUGACGCUGAAGAACGAAAGCUAGGGGAACAAACAGG